CCGAGAAUAUUCGACAAUGGACGAAAGUCUGAUCGAGCGACGCCGCGUGAUGGAUGAAGUGCUUCGGUACGUAAACAUCUUUUAUGUGGGACGAAAUUUUUGACGGUACCACAUGAAUAAGGGGCUACUAACUCUGUGCCAGCAGUAGCGGUAAUACAGAGGCCCCGAGCGUUAUCCGGAAUUAUUGGGCGUAAAGGGUGUCCAGGUGGCCAUGUUAGUCGUUUGUAAAAUCCGCGCGCUUAACGUGCGGCUCGCAAGCGAAACGGCAUGGCUCGAGGGCGCGAGAGGUGCAUGGAACUCACGGUGGAGGGGUGAAAUCCGUUGAUAUCGUGGGGAACACCAAAGGCGAAGGCAGUGCACUGGCGCGUUCCUGACACUCACACACGAAAGCCAGGGGAUCGAACGGGAUUAGAUACCCCCGUAGUCC
rnacentral:rRNA from 1 species